GCGGACCGAAUUAAGAGUAGGGAAGUGUGUGAGCCAUGCGUCAAGAAAAGCCGCUAUUGUUUUACUUAAGCCCGUACCGUAAACCGACACAGGUGGAUGAAGAGAGAAUCCUAAGGCCGACGGGAGAAGCAUUGUUAAGGAACUCGGCAAAAUGACUCCGUAACUUCGGGAGAAGGAGUGCCAGCGAGAGCUGGCCGCAGAGAAUUGGCCCAAGCAACUGUUUAGCAAAAACACAGGUCUAUGCAAAACCGUAAGGUGAAGUAUAUGGGCUGACGCCUGCCCGGUGCUGGAAGGUUAAGAGGAGAGGUUAGCGGCAACGCGAAGCUUUGAAUUUAAGCCCCAGUAAACGGCGGCCGUAACUAUAACGGUCCUAAGGUAGCGAAAUUCCUUGUCGGGUAAGUUCCGACCCGCACGAAAGGCGUAAUGAUUUGGGCACUGUCUCAACAAUGCACCCGGUGAAAUUGAAAUACCAGUGAAGAUGCUGGUUACCUGCGCCAGGACGGAAAGACCCCAUGGAGCUUUACUCCAGCUUGAUACUGGGAUUCGGUAUUGCAUGUACAGGAUAGGUGGGAGGCUAGGAAGUGAUAACGCCAGUUGUCACGGAGCCGCUGUUGGGAUACCACCCUUGCAGUAUUGGAUUUCUAACCAGCGACCAUGAACUGGUCGGGGGACAAUGUCAGGUGGGGAGUUUGACUGGGGCGGUCGCCUCCGAAAGGGUAUCGGAGGCGCUCAAAGGUUCCCUCAGAAUGGACGGAAACCAUUCGAAGAGUGCAAAGGCAGAAGGGAGCUUGACUGCGACACCGACGGGUGGAGCAGGUACGAAAGUAGGACUUAGUGAUCCGGUGGUAUAAAGUGGGAUUGCCAUCGCUCAACGGAUAAAAGCUACCCUGGGAUAACAGGCUUAUCACUCCCAAGAGUUCACAUCGACGGAGUGGUUUGGCACCUCGAUGUCGGCUCAUCGCAUCCUGGGGCUGAAGUAGGUCCCAAGGGUUGGGCUGUUCGCCCAUUAAAGCGGUACGCGAGCUGGGUUCAGAACGUCGUGAGACAGUUCGGUCCCUAUCCGGCGUGGGCGUAGGAUAUUUGAGAGGAGCUGUCCUUAGUACGAGAGGACCGGGAUGGACUGGCCGCUGGUGUAUCUGUUGCAUACCAAAUGCAUGGCAGAGUAGCCAAGCCGGGACGGGAUAAACGCUGAAGGCAUCUAAGCGUGAAGCCCCCCUCAAGAUGAGAUAUCCCUACGUAAGUAGUAAGACCCCUUGAAGACGACGAGGUAGAUAGGUCAGAGGUGGAAGUACAGUAAUGUAUGGAGCUGACUGAUACUAAUCGGUCGAGGGCAUGACC
rnacentral:rRNA from 1 species